rnacentral:rRNA from 1 species
UACGUAGGGUGCAAGCGUUGUCCGGAAUUAUUGGGCGUAAAGAGCUCGUAGGCGGUGUGUCACGUCGGCCGUGAAAACCUGGGGCUUAACUCUGGGCGUGCGGUCGAUACGGGCAUCACUAGAGUUCGGCAGGGGAGACUGGAAUUCCUGGUGUAGCGGUGAAAUGCGCAGAUGUCAGGAGGAACACCGGUGGCGAAGGCGGGUCUCUGGGCCGAUGACUGACGCUGAGGAGCGAAAGCAUGGGUAGCGAACAGG